rnacentral:rRNA from 1 species
UACGUAGGGUGCGAGCGUUAAUCGGAAUUACUGGGCGUAAAGGGCGCGUAGGUGGUUAUGUAAGAUUGUUGUGAAAUCCCUGGGCUUAACCUAGGAACUGCAACGAUGACUGUAUAGCUUGAGUAUUGUAGAGGGUAGUGGAAUUUCCGGUGUAGCGGUGAAAUGCGUAGAGAUCGGAAGGAACACCAGUGGCGAAGGCGGCUACCUGGACAAAUACUGACACUGAGGCGCGAAAGCGUGGGUAGCAAACGGG